AUUGAACGCUGGCGGCAGGCCUAACACAUGCAAGUCGAGCGGAUGAGGGAAGCUUGCUUCCCGAUUUAGCGGCGGACGGGUGAGUAAUGCCUAGGAAUCUGCCUGUUAGUGGGGGAUAACGUUCCGAAAGGAACGCUAAUACCGCAUACGUCCUACGGGAGAAAGUGGGGGAUCUUCGGACCUCACGCUAAUAGAUGAGCUGAGGUCGGAUUAGCUAGUUGGUAAGGUAACGGCUCACCAAGGCGACGAUCCGUAGCUGGUCUGAGAGGAUGCUCAGCCACACUGGAACUGAGACACGGUCCAGACUCCUACGGGAGGCAGCAGUGGGGAAUAUUGGACAAUGGGCGAAAGCCUGAUCCAGCCAUGCCGCGUGUGUGAAGAAGGUCUUCGGAUUGUAAAGCACUUUAAGUUGGGAGGAAGAGUUGUAAGCUAAUAUCUUGCAGCUUUGACGUUACCAACAGAAUAAGCACCGGCUAACUCUGUGCCAGCCGCCGCUGUAACAC
rnacentral:rRNA from 1 species